rnacentral:rRNA from 1 species
UGCCAGCAGCCGCGGUAAUACGGAGGGGGCAAGCGUUGUUCGGAUUCACUGGGCGUAAAGGGUGUGUAGGCGGAUUGGUGUGUGAUACGUGAAAUCCUGGGGCUUAACUCCAGAAUUGCGUCUCAAACUGCCAGUCUUGAGUAUGGAAGAGGUAAGUGGAAUUUUCAGUGUAGCGGUGAAAUGCGUAGAUAUUGAGAAGAACACCAGAGGCGAAGGCGGCUUACCAUUCCAAUACUGACGCUGAGGCACGAAAGCGUGGGGAGCGAACAGGAUUAGAUA